GUAACAAAUAAAAUCUUUGAAAUUAUCAGCCUUGUAAAUUCGUAUCCCAAGGGCAUAACUUUGGAUGCGUUUU
rnacentral:lncRNA from 1 species